rnacentral:rRNA from 1 species
UACGUAGGGGGCAAGCGUUGUCCGGAAUCAUUGGGCGUAAAGAGCGCGUAGGCGGUCCGGUAAGUCCGCUGUGAAAGUCAAGGGCUCAACCCUUGAAUGCCGGUGGAUACUGUCGGGCUAGAGUCCGGAAGAGGCGAGUGGAAUUCCUGGUGUAGCGGUGAAAUGCGCAGAUAUCAGGAGGAACACCGGUGGCGAAGGCGGGAUCCUGGGCCAGUACUGACGCUGAGGAGCGAAAGCGUGGGGAGCAAACAGG